CGGAACACGUACGCAACCUUCCCAUAACUGGUGAAUAGCCUUUCGAAAGAGAGAUUAAUACACCGUAACAUAACGAAGAGGCAUCUCUUUGUUAUUAUAGUAGCAAUACGGUUUUGGAUGGGCGUGCGCCUGAUUAGGUAGUUGGCGGGGUAACGGCCCACCAAGCCUGCGAUCAGUAACUGGUGUGAGAGCACGACCAGUCACACGGGCACUGAGACACGGGCCCG
rnacentral:rRNA from 1 species